rnacentral:rRNA from 1 species
CAGCAGCAGCCGCGGGAAUACGAAGGGGGCUAGCGUCGUUCGGAUUUACUGGGCGUAAAGCGCACGUAGGCGGACUUUUAAGUCAGGGGUGAAAUCCCGGGGCUCAACCCCGGAACUGCCUUUGAUACUGGGAGUCUUGAGUUCGAGAGAGGUGAGUGGAAUUGCGAGUGUAGAGGUGAAAUUCGUAGAUAUUCGCAGGAACACCAGUGGCGAAGGCGGCUCACUGGCUCGAUACUGACGCUGAGGUGCGAAAGCGUGGGGAGCAAACAGGAUUAGAUACCCCCGUAGUCCCUGUCUCUUAUAC